rnacentral:rRNA from 1 species
UACGGAGGGUGCAAGCGUUGUUCGGAUUUAUUGGGCGUAAAGCGCGUGUAGGCGGUUUGUUAAGUCUGAUGUGAAAGCCCUGGGCUCAACCUGGGAAGUGCAUUGGAAACUGGCAGACUUGAAUACGGGAGAGGGUAGUGGAAUUCCUAGUGUAGGAGUGAAAUCCGUAGAUAUUAGGAGGAACACCGGUGGCGAAGGCGGCUACCUGGACCGAUAUUGACGCUGAGACGCGAAAGCGUGGGGAGCAAACAGGAUUAGAUACCCUGGUAGUCCACGCCGUAAACGAUGAGUACUAGGUGUUGCGGGUAUUGACCCCUGCAGUGCCGCAGCUAACGCAUUAAGUACUCCGCCUGGGAAGUACGGUCGCAAGACUAAA